UACGUAGGGUCCGAGCGUUGUCCGGAUUUAUUGGGCGUAAAGAGCUCGUGGGCGGCUUGCUAAGUCAGGCGUGAAACCUCCAGGCUCAACCUGGAGCCGCCACCUGAUACUGGUAUGGCUAGAGUCCGGUAGGGGACCACGGAAUUCCUGGUGUAGCGGUGAAAUGCGCAGAUAUCAGGAGGAACACCGGUGGCGAAGGCGGGUCUCUGGGCCGAUACUGACGCUGAGGAGCGAAAGCGUGGGGAGCGAACAGG
rnacentral:rRNA from 1 species